UUCUUAUCAAGAGCAGGCGGAGGGACUAGCCCGAUGAAGCCCGGCAACCGGCGUACAAUACGUACGGUGCUAAUUCUUGCGGAAACAUUUAUGUUUCUGAGAGAUGAGAG
rnacentral:ncRNA from 2 species